UUCGUUGAAAAAGAGGUUGUUUCCACUAGAAAGGAUUCCACACUUCCGAGAUGGCUUUCCACCACUCAUUAAUAAGAAUCUAUCCGAUUCCAGCUGACCUGAAAAAGAAAUGUGAAAUCAUGAGUUCCAGAAAAUGAGAGCUAUGGUUGCUGAAUGAUAUUAAUACCAAUAUGAAAAAAAUGAGGAUCACACCUUCUGUUGCUGAUGGCCUCACACUUCAUGAGAAGAGUCCAUGUUAUUAUUCCCCAGUAUGUUUCCAACAAGCUCAUUCCACCUCCGACCUCCACCCGUACCCCCACUGUAGCAGUUUUCUGGUUGUGCUUGCUGAAUCCUCAGCUCUACCUGUUCCAAUG